rnacentral:rRNA from 1 species
UGAGGAAUAUUGGUCAAUGGGCGAGAGCCUGAACCAGCCAAGUCGCGUGAAGGAUGAAGGCCCUAUGGGUCGUAAACUUCUUUUAUACGGGAAUAACGAGCCUUACGGGUAGGGCGCUGAAUGUACCGUAGGAAUAAGCAUCGGCUAACUCCGUGCCAGCAGCCGCGGUAAUACGGAGGAUGCGAGCGUUAUCCGGAUUUAUUGGGUUUAAAGGGUGCGUAGGUUGCUUGGUAAGUCAGCGGUGAAAACUGAACGCUCAACGUUCAGCGUGCCGUUGAAACUGUCAGGCUUGAGUGCAGUGGCGGCAGGCGGAAUUCGUGGUGUAGCGGUGAAAUGCAUAGAUAUCACGAGGAACUCCGAUUGCGAAGGCAGCUUGCCAUACUGUAACUGACACUGAAGCACGAAGGCGUGGGUAUCAAACAGG